UCGCAAUUUUCACGUCUUUUCCUUAUGGUUUUCUGCUGGUACCUUCCUCCUUCUGCCUUGUGUCUCUUGCUGCUGGUCUGGGUGGGCACUAUGUCCUCAGCCAUGUCCCAAACGAUUUCCCAAGCAUUAAUGACGCACCCCUCGGGCACGGGGACCAUGGAUCCCUUGACGCGCACACCGCGUCUUGAGUGGGACUCCCUUGGGAAUGCACAAAGAAAUGCUAGC